AUGACGGACAACCGCAGCGGCUCCGACUCCAAUGGCGACGAGGGUGACAUCGAUGUUGUCGCCUUCCGCAAUGCUUUGCGCCACUCCUGUCUAGAUCAGGCAGCAGCAGCGGAGGCAGCUCCCGUAGCGACGCGUCGUCCCCUUCGCCCGCCGCCACACUGUGGGCGACGUUGUCGGGCCGUCCCAUUCGCCGGUGGGAGCGCCAACCGUUCCACCCCACUCCAAGUAUGCCGCUCCGCCGCCAACCCGUCCAUUCUACCUCCGGAGAGCGUCCACGGGCACCGUUUGGUGCUUCUGCCCUCGCCAGCACCAGGCCGGUUGAGGACGCCCGAGGCGCGGCCCGCACGACGCGAGGGCAACGCGACGGAGAUGGAUGCGUUGCGGCUGCGGCGGAAGAACGCCAAAGCGCUCCGACUCGCUAUCGAGUCGUCGGCGAAGGAGAAGGCGAAGAGGCACGUCGAGGAGCAGGAACGCUUGCUCCAAAGGCUUGCCGGGGGUCACAUGGAGCUAUUGGGUGACUCCGACGACGGAUCAAGCUCUGACGAUAACGACGACGAUGACCCUCCGGCGGCCGACGCCCACACCGAAGGCCAAAGCAGCAUCGCCAACCGCAAGGGAAGGACCAACUCACUAAUGCCCCCAUCCCUCCUCCUCCCCAUCCAAUCCCCCGGACGAUCUGCCUCCCCUGUCGCCUACCCCGCUGCUGCGUCGACCCUAGCCGCGACGCCCGACUUUUCCACCGACGGUGAGGCCUUCCUCAAUCCCUCCAAGCUCUGUGUCCUCCGCAUUGUGCUGCCACACCCCCACUCUCGUCGCUUGCGGUCACCGGAGCCAUGUCGGGAGAGUUUACGGCAAUCCUUCCAAGCAUUAAUUAUUCCGAUGAUAGUAGGGGGCCUCCAUGCACAGUCUUUCUUCAUUGGUACAUCGGCGUUGUUUUCUUGUGGAUGUGCUGGAUCGCCAUUCCUCAAUGUGUACCUGGAUUCUCUUUGUGCACCUAAUUUUAGGCAGAUUAAGCAAUUCUCUACAUUCAAGGGUGCCGUUAAUUAUGAUGCUGGCGCCAGCGUCCUUGAGGAGGGAAAGAGGGGCGCUGGUGGCAGAGGCCAUGCACAAGUACGCGACACCCUGCUCGUCGUGAUAGUUCUGGUUUUCCUUGCCGCUCCCAAAUGCUCAAGUGGAACGGCAAGUAGGAAGCGCACCUCUGGGACAACACAAAGCCAGGUUGAGAGGCCCAAGCACAAUGGCAAACAAGCAUCUCUACUUCUAAUGGAGCAGUUGGUAGUCUCCGCCGGUCAAUUUUCGUCCCAUCAAAGACGGUUAAUUUUCGUCCUCCAUCCCACCUCCCGCUACCCAGCGAUCCCCCCUUCCUUCCUCGAGACCGACCAAAAAAAAAGGCAGGCUACCACGAGGCCCGUUGCCCUCGUGCCUCGCAUCCCCUCGCACACACGAAAAAAAACAGCGAAAAUAAUCCCCGAGAGAAAGUCCAAUCGCGUCCCGCAAACCCUAGCCGCCGCCGGCCUCCCCUACCCGUGCCGCAGACGCACACCAUCCUCUUCUCCUCCCUCCCGUCAGCGACCUGCCUCCACUCCGCGAGGCAGAUCGAUCGAGACCCAUGGCCGGGGUCGCCACCGUGCCUCGCCGCGCAGCGCAUCGGUCGGAGCAGAGAGUCGGGGCGUAGGAGAUGAGGAGAACGGCGUAGGCUUCAUGAUGGAAGGAGAUACGGCGGCGGACAAGGAGGAGGUCGGGGGUUACACAGAGGUACAGGUGGAUGUCAGCAACCUGCCCCCUACGACGUCGAUGGUGAGCACCCAAUAUGUUGUAAUCUAUCUAUUUGAUCUAUUUAGUGAUAUUUCACAUCGACUGAUUGUAGCAUGCCUACACCGAUGGGCAUUUGGAGGAGCCGGCAACGGUGGCAGUGCUUCAUUUUCCUGCCGACAAUGGAAGUAUGGACCAGCAAGAAAUAUCGAGUUGAUUGGCAUACUUGCUGAGAAGGUUACAACUGUAGGUAAGGCAUCAAACUAUAUGUCUCAAAUUAAGGUAAAUGCUUCUUCGUGUACCAUAUAUGGCAGUUUGGUGAUCAACCUUCGAUCAGUUAGGCCACUGGAUAGAGCUGCGAUAAAAGCAUAUGUUACGAAAAUAAAUAGGUUGGUGAUUCUUGAAGAAGGCUCCCCCCAACAUCGUGUUGGUGCUGAGAUAUGGUUUUCUCUCUCUCUCUCUCUCCACACACAUCAUGUCAGUACUUUUUAUUUUCUUGCUCGAGCCACAGAUUCUACUUCUGCAUAUUGUUUACUUUAUCCUCGCUGCAUCGGCCUUGCAUAUGGCCAUUGGGUACUGAUCGCCUCCAUGUCUUUGGUGAGCCCCCAUAGCUCUAGGUACAUUCUGAAGGAGAAGAUUGCUGGUCGAGAAGGCCAUUUAUCUGAUAUUAGUUUAUUGGAGAAAUUGCCCAUGAUGUAUUUUCAGUACAUUAGGAUUUUUUGUAGUCGCAUGGUUCUGAUAGGAAGAUACCGUUGCUACCAGUAA
rnacentral:rRNA from 1 species